rnacentral:siRNA from 1 species
AUAGAGUGGAAGAGGUCAUCAGG